GCAUAACGCGAAGAACCUUACCUAGGCUUGACAUGCAUCUCUAAGCACGUGAAAGCGUGUGACCCUUCGGGGAAUUUGCACAGGUGCUGCAUGGCCGUCGUCAGCUCGUGUCGUGAGAUGUUGGGUUAAGUCCCGCAACGAGCGCAACCCUUGUGACUAGUUGCCAGCACGUCAUGGUGGGAACUCUAGUCAGACUGCCCAGAUCAACUGGGAGGAAGGUGGGGACGACGUCAGGUCAGUAUGGCCCUUACGCCUAGGGCUGCACACGUACUACAAUGCCCAGCACAAUGAGAACCGAGACCGCGAGGUGGAGGAAAUCUAAAAAACUGGGCCCAGUUCGGAUUGGAGGCUGCAACUCGCCUCCAUGAAGUUGGAAUCGCUAGUAAUGGCGCAUCAUCUACGGCGCCGUGAAUACGUUCCCGGGUCUUGUACACACCG
rnacentral:rRNA from 1 species